GGAGGAAAAGAAACCAACAGGGAUUCCCUGAGUAACGGCGAGCGAAAAGGGAAGAGCCCAGCGCCGAAUCCCCAGCUCGCAAGGGCGAGGGGAAAUGUGGCGUUUAGGAGUGAGCGUGCCGGUGGUCGACUCUGCAGCAAGUCCCCCUGACCGGGGCUGUUACCCAGAGUGGGUGCGAGGCCCAUAGCUGCUAGGUCUCCUCCGGAUGCGAUCUCCUUGGAGUCGGGUUGCUUGGGAGUGCAACCCUAAUCGGGUGGUAAACUCCACCUAAGGCUAAAUACUGCCGUGAGACCGAUAGCAAACAAGUACCGUGAGGGAAAGUUGCAAAGAACUUUGAAGAGAGAGUUCAAGAGUACGUGAAACUGCUCAGAGGUAAACGGGUGGGCCCUCGAAAUCCUGCGAUGGGGACAUUCAGUUGGGGUGCGUGGACGCGCCGUUGGAGAUUGGAUCCCGAGACCGGGCCGUUCCUUCGGUGCGCCUCCGUGCCACCCGACGCAUUUGUUUCCCGUCCGAAGGACGCCGCAACCGGUUGGGAGACGGCCUUAAGGGCGAGAGCGGCAGGUGGCCGGUGGCGGGGAUUCGUCUUCGUCGCCGGUUGUUAGCCGUCUCGUCGCACGGCUCGUAGCCCGACCGUGGUGUCGCGAGGCCCCUCAUGGGCCUCUCCGCCUCCUCCUGAAAAGGUAGCGAGUAAGAACUCGGCAGGAGUUCGACCCUCUGCGGGCGCACGGACCGACUCCGUGGCCCAGCGUCGUGGUCGUCUUCGUUGGCCGGGACGGGCUCGUCGGAGUGUCGGCGGUGGCGGCGAGUAGAUCGGUCACCCACCCGACCCGUCUUGAAACACGGACCAAGGAGUCUAACAUGUGUGCGAGUCAAUGGGUCUCGAAUAAGCCCAGAGGCGCAAUGAAAGCAAAGGCCGGAUUCACUCCGUGCCGCGUUGGGAUCCCCGCUCUUGUACGGGCGGGGCGCACCAACGACCCGUCCUGUUCCACUUGUGGAUUGGGCGGAGUCCGAGCAUACACGUUGGGACCCGAAAGAUGGUGAACUAUGCCCGGGCAGGACGAGGCCAGAGGAAACUCUGGUGGAGGUCCGUAGCGGUUCUGACGUGCAAAUCGAUCGUCAGAUCCGGGUCUAGGGGCGAAAGACUAAUCGAACCAUCUAGUAGCUGGUUCCCUCCGAAGUUUCCCUCAGGAUAGCUGGCGCUCGGAGAUAUCAGUCUCAUCCGGUAAAGCGAAUGAUUAGAGGCCUUGGGGCCGAAACGACCUCAACCUAUUCUCAAACUUUAAAUGGGUGAGAAGUCCGCCUUGCAUGACUGAAGGCCGGACGUUACGGAUGAGAGUGCCCAGUGGGCCACUUUUGGUAAGCAGAACUGGCGCUGUGGGAUGAACCAAACGCCGGGUUAAGGCAUCCGAUGCGAGACGCUCAUGAGACCCCAUGAAAGGUGUUGGUUGCUCUAGACAGUAGGUCGGUGGCCAUGGAAGUCGGAAUCCGCUAAGGAGUGUGUAACAACUCACCUACCGAAGCAACUAGCCCUGAAAAUGGACGAUGCUCCAGCGUCGAGCCCAUACCCGGCCGCUGCGGCAGAACUCCGUCAAAAGGAGACUUACGCCGCAGUGAGUAGGAGGGUCGCGAUGGCGAGCGUUGAAGGUGCCGGGCGUGAGCCCGCCUGGAGCCGCCAUCGGUGCAGAUCUUGGUGGUAGUAGCAAAUACUCAAGUGAGAACCUUGAGGACUGAAGGUGGAGAAGGGUUCCAUGUGAACAGCAGUUGAACAUGGGUCAGUCGGUCCUAAGGGAUCGGAGAAAUCCGUUCCGAAGCGGGACGUUGACACAAACAUAAAAAUUGAUUAAAAUGUUUGUCCCGCUGCAGACCGAAAGGGAAUGGGGUCAAUAUUCCCCAACCCGGACACGGAGAUAGGGCCCUCGGGCUCAAGUGCGGUAACGCAACCGAACUCGGAGACGUCGACGGAGGACCCGGGGAAGAGUUGUCUUUUCUUUGUAAGAGUUCGUGUCCCUGGAAUCGGCUCGUCCGGAGAUAGGGACGCUGUCCUCGUAAAAGCACCGCGGCUCUUGCGGUGUCCGGUGCGCCUCUGUCGGCCCUUGCAAAUCCGAGGGAGAGAGUGUGAUUUUCGUGCCGGUCCGUACCCAUAUCCGCAGCAGGUCUCCAAGGU
rnacentral:rRNA from 1 species